rnacentral:rRNA from 1 species
CACGUAGGGCGCGAGCGUUGUCCGGAAUUAUUGGGCGUAAAGAGCUCGUAGGCGGCCUGUUGCGUCCGCUGUGAAAGCCCGGGGCUUAACCCCGGGUCGGCAGUGGGAUACGGGGCAGGCUAGAGGUAGGUAGGGGGAGAAUGGAAUUCCCGGUGUAGCGGUGAAAUGCGCAGAUAUCGGGAGGAACACCGGUGGCGAAGGCGGUUCUCUGGGCCUUACCUGACGCUGAGGAGCGAAAGCGUGGGGAGCGAACAGG